GGCCAUAGUGACCUGGAUAUGCCUGAUCUUGGAAGCUAAGUAGGUUUGGUCCUGCUUAGUACUUGGAUGGGAGACGGUUUGUGAGAAACAAGCGCU
rnacentral:rRNA from 1 species